AUUAUGACCUAUAGGACACCCAUCCCGCCCCAUAGAGCCCCAUAGAACCCCAUAGGACACCCAUCCCGCCCCAUAGGACCCCAUUCCGCCCCAUAGAGCCCCAUAGAACCCCAUAGGACACCCAUUAUGGCCCAGAGGGCCCCCAUUCCGCCCCAUAGAGCCCCAUAGAACACCCUAGGACCCCCUUCUGCCCCAUUAGGCCCCAUAGAACCCCCAUCCCGCCCCAUAGGUCACCCAUCCCGCCCCAUAGAGCCCCAUUGCGCCCCAUAGAGCCCCAUAGAACCCCAUAGGUCACCCAUCCCGCCCCAUAGAGCCCCACAGAACCCCAUAGGACACCCAUUCCGCCCCAUAGGACACCCAGUAUGACCCAUAGGGCCCCCAUUCCGCCCCAUAGAGCCCCAUAGAGCCCCAUAGGUCACCCAUCCCGCCCCAUAGAGCCCCAUUGCGCCCCAUAGAACCCCAUAGGUCACCCAUCCCGCCCCAUAGAGCCCCAUAGAACCCCAUAGGACACCCAUUCCGCCCCAUAGGACACCCAUCCCGCCCCAUAGACCCCCAUAGAACCCCAUAGGUCACCCAUCCUGCCCCAUAGGACCCCAUUCUGCCCCAUAGAACCCCCAUCCCGCCCCAUAG
rnacentral:lncRNA from 1 species